rnacentral:rRNA from 1 species
CAGCUCCACGAGUGGGAACUACAAUUAUUUGGCCUAAAGCGUCCGUAGCUGGUUAAGUAAAUCUCUUGUGAAAUUGUUUUGCUCAACAAAACAGCGUGCAGGAGAGACUGCUUGACUAGGGACCGGGAGGAGUCAGAGGUAUGCUGAGGGGAGCGGUAAAAUGCUAUAAUCCUCGGUAGACCACCUGUGGCGAAGGCGUCUGACUAGAACGGGUCCGACAGUGAGGGACGAAAGCCAGGGGAGCAAACCGGAUUAGAUACCCGAGUAGUCC